UUUAGAUCAAAAGGUUUAAUAAGAUAGGCCUAGGACAGUUAACUCCCAAAAGGUUCUGAGAAUGUGAGAUAGAUUCUCGACCACAACUAUAUUUGUCGUAUCCUAGCCAGCCUGGUGGGUCCUGGUGUUUAGCGCAAGGCCUCGUCGGGAGGGAACAUAACAGAUACGGUGUGUUUGACAUAUUACUUCGUUAUUCUUUAAUUUCACGCAUAUACACCGGAGAGAGAGAGCGACUAUGCCAGGUUCAUAUGUAGCUUCUGAUGACCUGUUGAGAAGUAAAUCCGGAUGACUUUUGUAUUGCUUUAAUGUGGGCGUCCGUGCCAUCCCUACAUAGAGGGCGCUAGCGCACUCUCCGAUAUGGUGUACUGUGAUUAUAUGAGGUGAAUUUCGAAUAUUUCAGAAGUGUUUUUACGUAUUUAGUGUUGAAUAAAGACGUACAAGUACAUUGCUUCGUGGGAAUGAAGUUUCUACUGGUAAUGGUACUGACAUGUUACCAUUCCCGUUCCCCAUCUGUCGAAGUAGCUGCUCUUUAAAAGAGCCACAGUAGUAGUGUGUGAAUACAACUAGGCCUAGCAAAAACGGACCACACCUUAGAGUUUACGGCUGACACUGGACGACUGUAUAGCUUUUGUUGGCUUGUGACGUCGACAGAGGCGCACCAUCUGCACCACACGAGAAAAGCCACGCGCAUUUCCUUGUUCCCUGGAAAAUAACCGGCAGAAGGAUACAGGGACUAUAGAAAUCUAUGAAAGGAUCUCUCUCUCUCUCUAAACAGCCAAAGAAAACUAAAGAAAGAUUCACAGAGUAUGUUCGGUACGAAAAAAAAAACACAAAAAACAUCGGAUAGGUGUGGCCGAACCAACCCUUCAAAUCACAGUACUGUCUGGUCUGUCAACUAGUAUAAAAAAUACGUUUACGUACAGUUUCUAACUCAACCUCAGACAUUCUAGUCCAACACAGUGAGACAAGUGAAAUUAGAAGUUUGUGUGUGUGUGAAUCGAGGAUAGUUGUGAAUAAAAUAAUUGAA